UUAACAGGUAGUGUUGGCCCUUCUACAUUAACAGGUAGUGUUGGCCCUUCUACAUUAACAGGUAGUGUUGGCCCUUCUACAUUAACAGGUAGUGUUGGUCCUUCUACAUUAACAGGUAGUGUUGGCCCUUCUACAUUAACAGGUAGUGUUGGUCCUUCUACAUUAACAGGUAGUGUUGGCCCUUCUACAUUAACAGGUAGUGUUGGCCCUUCUACAUUAACAGGUAGUGUUGGCCCUUCUACAUUAACAGGUAGUGUUGGCCCUUCUACAUUAACAGGUAGUGUUGGUCCUUCUACAUUAACAGGUAGUGUUGGCCCUUCUACAUUAACAGGUAGUGUUGGCCCUUCUACAUUAACAGGUAGUGUUGGCCCUUCUACAUUAACAGGUAGUGUUGGCCCUUCUACAUUAACAGGUAGUGUUGGCCCUUCUACAUUAACAGGUAGUGUUGGCCCUUCUACAUUAACAGGUAGUGUUGGCCCUUCUACAUUAACAGGUAGUGUUGGCCCUUCUACAUUAACAGGUAGUGUUGGCCCUUCUACAUUAACAGGUAGUGUUGGCCCUUCUACAUUAACAGGUAGUGUUGGCCCUUCUACAUUAACAGGUAGUGUUGGCCCUUCUACAUUAACAGGUAGUGUUGGUCCUUCUACAUUAACAGGUAGUGUUGGUCCUUCUACAUUAACAGGUAGUGUUGGCCCUUCUACAUUAACAGGUAGUGUUGGCCCUUCUACAUUAACAGGUAGUGUUGGUCCUUCUACAUUAACAGGUAGUGUUGGCCCUUCUACAUUAACAGGUAGUGUUGGCCCUUCUACAUUAACAGGUAGUGUUGGCCCUUCUACAUUAACAGGUAGU